ACAUGAGGCAGACGGUUGCGGUGGGCGUUAUCAAGGCCGUGGAGAAGAAGGAUCCGACCGGCGCCAAGGUGACCAAGGCUGCGGCCAAGAAGAAAUGAGAUGGUGUCAGGUUCUUUACUGCAUCUAUGAUGGUGGUGGCGGUGACGGCAUUUGGUGGUGGUGAUAGUUGUUCUAGUCGUUUUGAAAACUUGUUAAGCUUCGGUUAUUUGUGUCGAGCAGUGUUGGAACUGCUUAUUGCUCUGGUCAUUGUAUCGUUCGGUUGUGUUGGUGGAACUUUGUCAGUUAAUGUUGCUACUAUAUAUAGUCAUCAUGUUUGGAGUCGUUUUAUGUCAGUUGAUCAUGUUUUUUUGUCUUGCAAAGUUGAAUUUCUGUUUCCUUUCUUAACUACGCACGACAAGGAGUGUGCUGAUGGUUUUUUAUCCUAUUCCUGUGCGUCCUUUACAGCCAGUGCUGAUGGUUUUUUAUCCUAUUCCUGUGCUUCCUCAGCCAGAAUAUUUCUU
rnacentral:lncRNA from 1 species